rnacentral:rRNA from 1 species
AGGGUUUGAUUAUGGCUCAGGACGAACGCUGGCGGCGUGCUUAACACAUGCAAGUCGAACGGAGUGCCCCAGACAGAGGUUUCGGCCAAUGAAAGGGAACACUUAGUGGCGGACUGGUGAGUAACGCGUGAGGAACCUGCCUUUCAGAGGGGGACAACAGUUGGAAACGACUGCUAAUACCGCAUGACGCAUUUGGGUGGCAUCACCUGAAUGCCAAAGAUUUAUCGCUGAAAGAUGGCCUCGCGUCUGAUUAGCUAGUUGGUGGGGUAACGGCCCACCAAGGCGACGAUCAGUAGCCGGACUGAGAGGUUGACCGGCCACAUUGGGACUGAGAUACGGCCCAG